rnacentral:rRNA from 1 species
AGCGAACGCUGGCGGCAGGCCUAACACAUGCAAGUCGAACGCCCCGCAAGGGGAGUGGCAGACGGGUGAGUAACGCGUGGGAACGUACCCUUCGGUUCGGAAUAACCCAGGGAAACUUGGGCUAAUACCGGAUACGUCCGUGAGGAGAAAGAUUCAUCGCCGAAGGAUCGGCCCGCGUAAGAUUAGCUAGUUGGUGAGGUAACGGCUCACCAAGGCUAUGAUCUUUAGCUGGUCUGAGAGGACGAUCAGCCACACUGGGACUGAGACACGGCCCAGACUCCUACGGGAGGCAGCAGUGGGGAAUAUUGGACAAUGGGCGCAAGCCUGAUCCAGCCAUGCCGCGUGAGUGAUGAAGGCCUUAGGGUUGUAAAGCUCUUUCGGCGGGGACGAUAAUGACGGUACCCGCAGAAGAAGCCCCGGCUAACUUCGUGCCAGCAGCCGCCGUAAAAC